UAGGUCCCUUGAGGUCGUCCACACAACGGCAUUUUACCGGUUGUGUGUAUGUAACUGUGUAGACUGAACCCGUGUGUGAAAGACGCACAGGAAAGUGAGGGAGGGACUGUGGACAGAUCUAACGAAUUUGAAUUUCCCGUGUCGAGAGACACGCAAAAUUCCCAUUGGCUGAAUAACUUGAAUAAUUAAUUCAAAUGCGUGUUACGGUAAACAAACAAUUUCAAAGCGUGAUACAAUUAUUCAAGAUGGAUUUCAAUACUAUCUUGAACGAAUGUGUUAAAAGUUUGCCUUUUAUCGAUCGUCUUAAAGACCAGCAAAGAUUGGCGAUCGUUUCUUUAUCGCAGGGAAAGACGUCGUCUGUAUUCUGCCUACAGGUUUCGGGUUUAGAACUUUAAGAACUUUAGCUGGUGAUGAUUUACUAUAUGUGGACAAAGUAAUUUAAUAUUUUUGAAACUAAUGUGUGUUCAGUAUACUAUAAUGAAAGUAGCCACAUUCUCACCAAGUGUCCACAGUGUGGCAUUCGUCAACAACUACCAGGGAAAGGCGUUGAUAUAACGAGAGUUACGAUCUUUCAAGAUAUUAAUGAAUUCUUCGUUCAAGAACUCUUCAGCUGAUCCAAUUAUAAUAGACGUGUUCGCGUUUAUAUUAUAAAUAUCAUGUUUUGUCCUUUCAUCCAAAACAUGCGUCAAGGCAAUGGCAGACAACCCAAAUUUGCUGAGUUCCUUAAUUUGGUCUUCCACAACGCUUUUCAAUGGAGAAAUAAUUAACACAUUCGUUCAAGAUAGUAUUGAAAUCCAUCUUGAUCGAAUAAUUCGCUUUGAAAUUGUUUGUUUACUGUAACACGCAUUCGAAUUAAUUAUUCAUUUACGUAAUUGAUACUGCAUGUCAAUCAAGCUAUUCAGCCAAUGGAAUUUUCCGUGUCUCUCGACACGGGAAAUUCAAAUUCGUUAGACCUGUCCACAGUCCCUCACUUUCCCGCACGUCUUUCACAAGAGGGACUGGGUUCAGUCUAGUAACUGUGACACGAAAAACGUACCAAACCUUCUGGGGACCUGUGUAAAUAUUUUUACAUUGUGUGGACUUCAUGUCCUCAUAAUGUCGAAAUUCUUGUGCAAGUCCCCACAAUGUAAGAAUUCUUUUCAGUGUAUUACUGUGUAAAAAAAAAGUACUAAACGUUCUGGGGACCUGUGUAAAUAUUUUUACAUUGUGGGGACUUCAAGCCCUCAUAACGUCAAAAUUCUUGUGCAAGUCC